rnacentral:lncRNA from 1 species
GUCUCCUCAGGCUGUCAUAACAAAAUAGCAUAGACUACGUGGCUUAAACAAUCGAAACUUAUUUCCUCACAUUCUGGAGGCUGGAAGUCCAAGAUAAAGGUAUCGUCUUGGUAGCUUCUUCCAGAAAGCUAUCAGAGAGAAUCUGUUCCAGAUCUCAGUCUAGUGGUUUGCUGAUAAUCUUUGCUCCUUGGUUUCUGUUGUGGUGCCCUGAUCUCUGCCUCCAUAUAACAUGGUAUUCUCCGUGUGUGUGUGUGUGUGUGUGCGUGCGUGCGCGCGUCUGUUCAAAUUACCUAAUUAAGUGUACCCUAAUGACCUCAUUGUAACUUGACUUCCCUUACAGUUAUCUGGGAAAUUAUUUCUGCUUUGAUUUUUUUCUAGAGCCUCGUUCAUCAGCUUUGUUACUUCUGGUAUUACCACUUCAGAGUCCGAGGGAGUGGCUUUCAGUUCGAUUCCUGGAUUGAUGCUUGUAAAUUGCUUAUGGUGGACACAAUUCAGCCCUGUAUUGGCCAGCUUCCUGUUGCUGGGACAAAAUACCUUGACACCUACAACUUAAAGGAGAAGAGAUUUCAUAGUUUCGGAAGUUUCAAUCCAUGGAUGGCUGGCUCCAAGGCAGAAACAUCACAGCAGAAGCUUAGUAAAACAAAACCGCUUACUUUAUGGUGCCUGAGAAGCAGAACACAAGGAAAAAGUGCCAAAGAGGAACGGCCCAGGACCUAGAUACAGUCCCUGAGGUCAUAGGCCUCAUGACCCAGUUAUUCCAACUACUUCCCCAUAGCCCACUCAACUAUGAACUCAUCAGUAGCCAUUGAUGAGAUGAUCAUGGAUUGAAACCUCUACAAAUGGCUGACCAGUAAUAGCUGCAGCUCUACACCAGAUGCUAACAUCAGCAAAGCAGACACCCCCUCUGACUGGCUGCCAUCAUUGUUGCCGCGGAUUGAACUCAGGACCUUGUGCUUUCCAGGCAGGCCCAACGCCACUGAGGAUAGUUGGGAGGACAAAUAAAAAACAUGCCUAGUUGCUUCUGAAGCUGUGAAACCCUAUGAAAUUUGAGGUGUCAUUACAGUAAUUGCCAAAGCCAUCAUCAUGAGACAUCAGAAGACAUACAGGUUUAACAAUGGUGGAGCAGAUAAUACAAAGAGCAC